UGUUGGGGGCGGGCAGAGGCGUCGGCGCUGCCCCGGCGAGGGGCCGAGCCGGCGGGGCGCGCAGAAGCCGGCCCGAGCCCGGGCCCGAGCGCGGCUCCGCUCGGCUCCUGUGCGGCUCCCGGCGGGCCCUUCAGCCCCGGCCGGCCCCGGCGCGGCAGGGCACGAUGGCGCCCGGGCUGGGGCCGUGGCUCCUGGCCUUGUCCUUGGCCGCGGGGCCGGCAGGGCUGUGGGCGCAGCUGAGGCUGCUGGAGGACGGCGGAGGGCUGCGAGCGCCCGGGGAGACCGUGCGCCUCUCCUGCCGCGGAUCCGGCUUCAGCUUCCGGGACUAUGGCAUUCUGUGGUACCGUCAGGCAGCCGGCGGCGGUCUCGAGUGGGUGUCCUUCAUCGAGUGGCGCUCGGGUACUAGGAAGCAGUACGGGGCAGGAGUGCAGGGUCGAGCCACUGCCUCCCGGGACAAUUCCCGGUCCGAGUCGAUUCUGUCCCUGCGGGACCUGCAGCCCCGGGACUCUGCCCGCUACUUCUGCGCUGUUCGCACGGGGACAGGAAAUCCAGCUGAGCUUUAACAGAAACCUGCUGGGGCCCGGCCCACAAUGUCAGAGCUCUGGGGCAAGGGGCUGCUUGGGGUGGGGGCCUCAGGGCAGUUCCCAGGCAGUGAGGUUCCAUCACUCUGCACCCCAGGAGUUCCUGGCCUUUCCUGCACACUGCAGGAAUUUUAACUUAUGGGAAAUUAAAACAGAGUAGGAUUGUGAGCAACAAAAACCUGGAAACACCUUCCCUGAUACUGCCCACUUUCCUCCCUUGCUCAGCUUCAUACCUUCAUUCCCCAGUCCUCUACCUCCUCUGCCCAAGUGGCCCAAGGGUGAUGGGGUUUGAGGUGAAAUCAUAACACUUCAUCUCUACUGCUCCUUCCUCCCUCCCAUGGUCUGCAGUCCUUCACAAAUGGCUCCAGAAUGGGUCCUUUUGGAGGGCUGCAGUCCUUCAGGAUAAACAUGCUCCAGCAUCAGCUCUCCACAGCCCCAGUUCCUGUCAGGGCACACUCAUGUACUCUGCCGUGUGAUCCUACGCAGGCUGAAGGGAAACAACUGUCCCACUGUGGUGUCUUCCAUGGGCUGCAGGGGAAUGUCUGCUCUGGUGUCUGGAGCACCUCCUCCCCCUCCUUGUUGUCCCAGAGGCAAUGCCUGCUUUGCUGAUGAGCUCAGCUUUGGCCUGCGGCAGGUAUUAUCCUGAGCUGGCUGGAACAGGCUGUGCUGGACACGAGGCAGUCCCUGAGUGCUUUCCACAGAGGCCACCCCUGCAGUCCCCUGCUACCAAAACCUUGCGAUGGACGUGCCGUACAUGGGUGUCACAGCCCACCUCUGUGCCGAGGCGGUGACUGAGCUGUGCCUGGGGCACGGAGUGGGGACUGGUUGUGGCCGGGUGGUGUCAUAGGUCCAGAGAAGUGGGAAGCCAGAGCAGAGCAGGUCUGUGAGCAGAGAGGAGCUGGGGAAAGGUGAGCAGAAGCCACUCUGACCAUGUAGGACCUCCUGUGAGUUGAGUCAUUGCCUGUUCUAGCUAAGUAGACCAGGGUGGAGGUUUGGAGGGUUCCACGCUGGGGAACUUGGCACACCCUUUCACACCUUGCAUAAAUCGAUGUUAUGAUCUUUCCUCUCUACUCACAGAAUGAGUGAUAUUGGAAGGGACCUCAGCAGGUCCUGUCGUCCAACCCCCCUGCUCCACCAGGCCACCUAGAUGGAGGCCUUGUUUUCUUCUCACCCUCACUUCAGGUAUUUCUGAACAUUGAUGAGAUUCAUCUGUGAGCCCUCUCUUCUCCAGGCUUCACAUUCAAAGGGGUCUCAGCCUUUCCUUAUAGGAGAGAUGCUCUAGACCCCUUCUCAUCUUUGUAGCCAUGUGCAGGACUCUCUACCUUAUGUCCAUGUCUCUCACGUACUGGAAAGCCAAGAGCUGGACCCAGUACUCCAGGUGUUUCCUCCAGUGCUGAGUAGAGAGGAAGGAUCCAUCCUGAUGAUGAUACUUUCUCUAAUGCAGUAAAGGAUACCUUUAGCCGCCUUUGCUGCCAGGGCACAUUGCUGGCUCAUGGCCAACUUGGUGUCAACCACAACGCCGAGGUCUUUUUCUGCAAAGCUGCUUUCCAGCUGGCUGACCACAGCCUGUCCUGGUGCAUGGAGUUGUUCCUCCCCAGAUGCAGGACGCUGCUCUUCCCCUUGUUGAACUCUGUGAGGUUCCUGUCAGCCCAUUUCCCCAGCCUGUUGAGGUCCCUCCGGACGGCAGCACUAACUUUUGCUGUAUCAGCCGUUCCUCCCAGGUUGCUGUCACCCUGCACAUUUGCUGAGGGCACAUUCCGUCCCAUCCGCCAGAUCAUUAAUGAAGAUGUUGAACGGGACUGGAGCCGGUACUGACCCCUGGGGUACACUGUUAGUUGCUGUCCUCCAACUAGACUUCAUGCUGCUGAUCAGCACCAUCUGGUCCCAGGCAUUCAGACAGUUUUGAUCCAUGUCACCGUGUGUUCAUUUAGCCCAGCCUUCAUCAGCUUCUCGAGGAGGAUCAUACGGGAGACAGUGUUGAAAGCCUUCUGGAUGUCGAAGUAGCCAAUAUUCACUGCUCUCCCCUCAUACACAAAGCCAGUCAUUUCAUUGUAGAAGGUUAUCAUGUUGGUGAUGCGUAACUGCCCCUAAGUGAAUCCUGAUGACAUUCUUGUCCUUCCUGUGCCUGGCAAUGGUUCCCAGGACUUGUUGGUCUAUCACCUUUCCAGGGCUCAAGAUGAGGCUGAGCAGCCUGUAGUUGCCCGGUUGAGAGUAGAGAACUGUUUUAUUAACAUGCCAGGAAAGGUGGUAAAAUGUUACAAAAUCUUCCAUCUGUUCUGAUGCUGGGAACCCGAGGCUGGUGCAGCAUCAGCCGAGCCACCACUCAGUACACGGCCCAUUGCACACAUUCGUAACGCUGGUGCCGUUUGCCCCUAUUGUAUUCUUCAGAACUUUUACGGGGAUCACUUAGAAGCACUGUGUUGUAGAAGGAAAGCAUGUAGCUUCAUUUGAAAAGCAAGCCAAGGCUAUUCCAAUGACAUCAUUGCUGCUGCCGAGUGGUUGAUGACUCCAGGCACUUCCAUUAUGAUUAGCUGGCUAAGUUCAUCCAUUUUGUGGGUUAAGCCUGGCAGGCAGCUACGCACCACACAGCUGCUCAGUCACUAGCUCCUCAGCAGUGACUGAGAGUCUGGGGCUGAGAGUCGGAAGGGCAGAAGUGAGAAAACCCAGGGGUUGAUAUAAAGACAGUUUCCUGGGUAAAGCGAAGAUGUUAUGGUGGCUGCUCAGGUCAGGAGGUGCAUUGUGUUGUGUGCAGUUACUGGCUGCCAAAGCCAGCUCAGGCUGGGUUAUGCUGAACCUGCAGGGCUUCUUGUGAAGUUUGUCCUCCCUUGGGUUUGUUGGUUCCUGGUACAGCACUUCCUGCAACAUGCAACUCAGAUCAUGGGUUGCAACAAUUUAGCCCUACGUUUAUGACAGCCUGCAGGUGUUGUACCUUUGGAGCAGGGCUCAGGGGGUAACACUGCAGCGAACUCCUCCCCUCCCCUCUGUGUCAGUGUUUGCUCAAGCCCUUCUCAAAUGUUGGCUAACACACAGCUCAUGCUAAGGCCUGCUCGCACACGAACCUCGUUGCCUUCAGGGCUGUACCUCCUCCCGCGUGGACUUACCCGCAGGUCACAGUCGCUGCCACUCGCUCUCGCCCUGGAGUAUGCCAAGCCAGGCGCAUGGCCAUUGCUGUUGGCAAAGUCUUCCCAGGCCCAGCAGAGUGAGAUGAUAAGCACCACAGCCAACAGCAAAAGCAAAAAGCAGCCACUAACGCGCGCCGGUGUCUAACAUGAAGCAAAGUAAGCAAGCCUGGUAGCAAGCAGAGGAGCCUGCCAGUUCAUAGCUAAGCAGCUGUAACAGCUAUAACUUCAGGCCACUAAAGAUGUUGUUCUGUCAAAAACCCUCGUGCCCUACGUUGGGCACCAAAAAGGACUGCUGAGGGUGACCCCUGGUAGGCAGGUAAGCGCCACACAGCUUCUCUCUCACAGCCCCCUCAGCAGGAUGGGGGAAAGAAUCAGAGGGGAGAAGGAAGAGAACACGUGGGUUGAGAGAAAGACAGUUUAUUCUUUACUAGUAAGGCCUGCAAAGGCCUAAGAGACAUCAAAACUUUUGCUUUCCCAGGUGUGCUGUGAGGAGGAGGCAGUGUUGGAGCUGGGGUUCGUACAAAGGGGUCCCCCUUGCUCUGGCCAUGACAGCCUCGAGGGGCUUAGUUGCACUAGUGGAGCAGGCUCUCUUUGGGCUGGAUGAGUGCAGGAGGAGUGACAACAGCCAAGACUGGUUGAGUGGAGCAACCCGUCCUCUCCCCAUGCAGCCCCUCAUGUUUUCUCCAAGAGGGCAUCUGCGGGGUGAGGAAAGCUGGGGGAGGGAUGGAAGAAGAGAAUCCCUAAAGAGCCUGUCCCUGAGCAGAUGCAGGGAUCCACCUGCCAAGGGUGUCAGCUUCUGUUGCUUUCCUUUGCCAGUUCAGGCGAGGUGCACAAGGAGAUGGUGCAUAAGGCGAUGUGGAAGGAAGCGCCCUGCAGCUCUGCAGAAGCCUGCCAGGGGCAGAGCAGGGGCACAAAGAGGAUUUUGUUGCUGUGCCCCCUCUCCGCGUUCAGGCACCCCGCACUGCCCCUGCCUGCUGGAUGUGCAGGGGAGAAGGGCUCAGGCACUGCAGACUGGCCUGAUGAGGUCUCUGAGGGGCAGCCCUGCA